UAGAUGGUAAUUUUAUCAUUUACCAAUUACUUCUAUCCUUUGGUAAAUUAAAACUUUUAUACAUUAACAUCGUAAUUAAACCCGAUAAUUUUAAAUUAGGGUUUUCUAAUUAGGGUUUCUUAACGCCAUCAAUUAGGGUUUCUAAUUGACCAUUAGGGUUCUCUAAUUAUCUGUGUAUGUUCUAACACAGUCAUUACAAUCUCUAACUUCAACCGAUUAGGGUUGUAAUAAUUAGGGUUUGUCCUAAUUAUCGACAUCUUAUACACAGUAACCUUCAUAUACACAGUCACUACUCAGUCAUAUCUCAUAACUGAGUUUAAUAAUUAGGGUUUCAAAGCACAGUACUGUGUUAUGACCUAAUUGACCGUCAUUACUUAAUAUUAUCUGUCCGCACAUACACAGUACAUAAUUAUUGUACUGUAAAAAUCAUUAUAACAAUAAUAUAAUAUUAUUAUUCUCAUCUCUUGAUCACAAUCCCAAUUCAGGGUUUGGAUCUCAUAUCUAACUUAUUCUUCGUACACAAC
rnacentral:lncRNA from 1 species